rnacentral:rRNA from 1 species
CACGUAGGCACCAAGCGUUGUCCGGAUUUAUUGGGCGUAAAGAGCUCGUAGGCGGUUCGGUAAGUCAGAUGUGAAAACUUUGGGCUCAACCCAAAGCCUGCAUCUGAUACUGCUGUGACUUGAGUUCGGUAGGGGAGUGGGGAAUUCCUAGUGUAGCGGUGAAAUGCGCAGAUAUUAGGAGGAACACCGGUGGCGAAGGCGCCACUCUGGGCCGAAACUGACGCUGAGGAGCGAAAGCGUGGGUAGCAAACAGG